UACAGAGGGUGGCAAGCGUUAAUCGGAAUUACUGGGCGUAAAGCGUGCGUAGACGGUAGCGUUAAGUCGGGUGUGAAAGCCCCGGGCUCAACCUGGGAAUUGGCAUUCGAGACUGCUCUGCUAGGGUGCGGAAGAGGGAAGCGGAAUUUCCGGUGUAGCGGUGAAAUGCGUAGAUAUCGGAAGGAACACCAGUGGCGAAAGCGGCUUCCUGGUCCAGCACCGACGUUCAGGCACGAAAGCGUGGGGAGCGAACA
rnacentral:rRNA from 1 species